rnacentral:rRNA from 1 species
CCUAGUAGAAGUUUCGUAGUCCUGGCGUCAGAGUGAACGCUGGCGGCGUGCUAACACAUGCAAGUCGAACGGACUCAUACUGAAACCUAGUGAUUAUGAGUUAGUGGCGGACGGGUGAGUAACGCGUGGAUAACCUGCCGUAUACCGGGGGAUAACACUUAGAAAUAGGUGCUAAUACCGCAUGAGCGCACAGCUCCGCAUGGAGCGGUGUGAAAAACUCCGGUGGUAUACGAUGGAUCCGCGUCUGAUUAGCCAGUUGGCGGGGUAACGGCCCACCAAAGCGACGAUCAGUAGCCGGCCUGAGAGGGUGAACGGCCACAUUGGGACUGAGACACGGCCCAGACUCCUACGGGAGGCAGCAGUGGGGAAUAUUGCACAAUGGGGGAAACCCUGAUGCAGCGACGCUGCGUGAGUGAAGAAGUAUCUCGGUAUGUAAAGCUCUAUCAGCAGGAAAGAUAAUGACGGUACCUGACUAAGAAGCCCCGGCUAACUACGUG